rnacentral:rRNA from 1 species
AGCGUUAUUCGGAUUUACUGGGCGUAAAGGGUGUGCAGGCGGUUCGGAAAGUUGGAUGUGAAAGCUCCUGGCUUAACUGGGAGAGGUCGUUCAAAACUGCGAGGCUUGAGAGUGGUAGAGGGAGGUGGAAUUCCGGGUGUAGUGGUGAAAUGCGUAGAUAUCGAGGAGACACGUGGCGAAGCGGCUCCUGGACCGAUAUGACGCUGAGACGCGAAAGCGUGGGGAGC